rnacentral:misc_RNA from 1 species
GAUGAAGAACGUAGCGAAAUGCGAUAAGUAAUGUGAAUUGCAGGAUUCAGUGAAUCAUCGAAUCUUUGAACGCACCUUGCGCCCUUUGGCUAUUCCAGAGGGCAUGCCUGUUUGAGUAUCAUGAACACCUCAACUCUCAUGGUUCUGCCAUGAUGAGCUUGGACUUUGGAGGUCUUGCUGGCCCCUGUGGUCAGCUCCUCUCAAAUGGAUCAGCUUGCCAGUGUUUGGUGGCAUCACAGGUGUGAUAACUAUCUACGCUUGUGGUUUUCCACCAGGUAACCUUCAGUGAUGGAGGUUCGCUGGAGCUCAUAAACGUCUCUCCUCAGCGAGGACAGCUUCUUGAACGUUUGAUCUCAAAUCAGGUAGGGCUACCCGCUGAACUUAAGCAUAUCAAUAAGCGGAGG